AACGGGUACGGGCAGAUUUCUAGUAGCAAGUAAUGCAUUUCACAAUUCGAGAUUUUAUGACCUCAUGUAUUGUCGGCCAAUGAUAAAAAAACUGAAAAUUUACACUCUAUUGGACUGUUGCAACUUUUGCAGCUUCCAUCACAAGUCUGAUAUGAUAUUUCAAUAGAAUCCUUAUCUCAUUUCCAAGAUGCUUAUCCUUCCUUUCCGCUUGUGGACAAGCUAUUUCCCAGGGCGGGAGUGAUGUUAUGGAUGCGUUCAUGGGUAAGUACUACAACAAGAGCUCCAAAUAGAAUUAAAAGUCCAUCAACAGUACAAGUUUAUCUUUCAUUAGUUAUCUGCAUUGUAAACCUCACUAUAAAAAGGGGUUAUUACUAAUGAAUAAAAUAAGCAGAAACUAUUUACCCAAAUUCUUUCAAGAUUUGGAGCUCUCUUUCAACGAGCUCUAAAAUGCCCGAGCUCUCUUUCAAUGAGCUCUAAAAUAGCUCCCUCCAUUGAGCUCUCAUAUUCCUUCAUCGUAGGUUCCACCGAAGAGGAGGGAAUGUAAUAAAGGCAAGGGCACAGCUGAAGACAGCUCUCCUACUCGCAGACCCGUGACAUGAUCCUUAACCAGGGAACUUAACACAACCACAUUUGAGUACAGUCUCAUUUUGAGUACAGUCUCAUCAUGCUUGAAAUGAUUCCAAAGUCUGCAGCUUUCUGAGCAUAAUUGAAAUGUAUGUAAUUAUUGGAUUCUUGUUUGGGAUUGG
rnacentral:lncRNA from 1 species